rnacentral:tRNA from 1 species
GGCCCAUUGGUCAAGAGGUCAAGACGUCACCCUCUCACGGUGAAAUCAUGGGUUCGAUUCCCGUAUGGGUCAC